UCCUUCCCGAUUAGCAGUUGACCAGACCAGCGACAGCAACGCCGAAGGUGUUACGUCACUGGGAGGGCGUGCCAGGCUACCAGUGACCACAAGUUAAAGAUUUUUGCCCACCGACAUCAAGAAGUAGUCUGAGAUGCACCCAUGAUGGCUGAAUUAAGACGAGGUGGCCAGCAUUUUCAAUCUGUGUGCGGAAUUCAAGGGAUCACUGGAUGGAUGCUCCAUCUGCAAACCUGAUGAAGGCAUUUAGUACCUAUGACUGAGGAUUCUGGCAUUGAUGUCUGCCACGAAUGUGCUCUCCUCUCAAGGGACUGUGCCUAUAUGAAUGAAGACCCUUAGAGCGUCGUGAAGGA